rnacentral:rRNA from 1 species
AUUGAACGCUGGCGGCGUGCCUAAUACAUGCAAGUCGAACGGAGUGGCGCACGGGUGGGUAAUUUAUAGCUAAGCAGCCCUCCACUGGAGGACAACAAUUGGAAACGACUGCUAAUACUCUAUAGUGUAGGAUGAGGCUAUAUUGUAUCAGCUAGUUGGUAGGGUAAUGGCUCACUAAGGCUAUGACGCAUAACUGGUCUGAGAGGAUGGGCAGUAACACUGGAACUGAGGCACUGUCCAGACUUCUACGGGAGGCAGCAGUAGGGUAUAUUGCUCAAUGGGGGAAACCCUGAAGCAGCAACGCGGCGUGGAGGAUGACACUUUUCGGAGCGUAAACUCCUUUUGUUAGGGAAGCGGUACCUAACGAAUAAGCACCGGCUAACUCCGUGCCAGCAGCCGCGGUAAUUC